rnacentral:lncRNA from 1 species
GUACAUUGCAAACAAGUUGUAGACAGCCUUAUAUUAGGGAAUAGGAGACACCAGGAAAUCGAGCACCACAGAUAACUAAUGAUCUGUAUUCAUCUUGGAAUGGAGAUCUGCAAUGUUUCACUAGGAAUAGAUUGGCCUGCCCAGAACUCUGUGAAUCACGCCACGAACUACACCAGGAAUGAUGCAACGGUGGGCUGUGGAACCUUACAUGACGGAUCAGCUUGGACACAUGAUCGACCUCAAC